rnacentral:rRNA from 1 species
CUGCGAGCGUGACGGCGCGAGCAGGUGCGAAAGCAGGUCAUAGUGAUCCGGUGGUUCUGAAUGGAAGGGCCAUCGCUCAACGGAUAAAAGGUACUCCGGGGAUAACAGGCUGAUACCGCCCAAGAGUUCAUAUCGACGGCGGUGUUUGGCACCUCGAUGUCGGCUCAUCACAUCCUGGGGCUGAAGUAGGUCCCAAGGGUAUGGCUGUUCGCCAUUUAAAGUGGUACGCGAGCUGGGUUUAGAACGUCGUGAGACAGUUCGGUCCCUAUCUGCCGUGGGCGCUGGAGAAUUGAGGGGGGCUGCUCCUAGUACGAGAGGACCGGAGUGGACGCAUCACUGGUGUUCGGGUUGUCAUGCCAAUGGCACUGCCCGGUAGCUAAAUGCGGAAGAGAUAAGUGCUGAAAGCAUCUAAGCACGAAACUUGCCCCG